rnacentral:rRNA from 1 species
GAUGAACGCUGGCGGCGUGCCUAAUACAUGCAAGUCGAGCGAACAGACGAGGAGCUUGCUCCUCUGACGUUAGCGGCGGACGGGUGAGUAACACGUGGAUAACCUACCUAUAAGACUGGGAUAACUUCGGGAGACCGGAGCUAAUACCGGAUAAUAUAUUGAACCGCAUGGUUCAAUAGUGAAAGACGGUUUUGCUGUCACUUAUAGAUGGAUCCGCGCCGCAUUAGCUAGUUGGUAAGGUAACGGCUUACCAAGGCGACGAUGCGUAGCCGACCUGAGAGGGUGAUCGGCCACACUGGAACUGAGACACGGUCCAGACUCCUACGGGAGGCAGCAGUAGGGAAUCUUCCGCAAUGGGCGAAAGCCUGACGGAGCAACGCCGCGUGAGUGAUGAAGGUCUACGGAUCGUAAAACUCUGUUAUUAGGGAAGAACAAAUGUGUAAGUAACUAUGCACGUCUUGACGGUACCUAAUCAGAAAGCCACGGCUAACUACGUG